UACGGAGGGUGCGAGCGUUGUCCGGAAUCACUGGGCGUAAAGGGCGCGUAGGUGGCCGAGCAAGGUCGCGGUGAAAGCCCGGGGCUCAACCCCGGGUCGGCCGUGGCAACUACUCGGCUCGAGCACUGUAGGGCCGCGGAAUUCCCGGUGUAGAGGUGAAAUUCGUAGAUAUCGGGAGGAACACCGGUGGCGAAGGCGGCGGCCUGGGUUGACACUGACGCUGAGGCGCGAAAGCGUGGGGAGCAAACAGG
rnacentral:rRNA from 1 species